AUAGAAGAUAGUCAGAGGCGUCGGAAGUUUUUACGGCGUGAACCCUCUGACGCUCAAGUCAGUUUCUGGGCCUUUGCCAAAAAACUUGUGCCACCACUCAUAUGGCUUAAUAAACAUGGCCUUAAAAACCAAAAGCUUUUUGAGUCCUUUGCAGAAAAAUGAAAUAGAGUGUAAAAGAAAGGAUUUUCCAUGAGAGGAAAAG
rnacentral:lncRNA from 1 species